rnacentral:rRNA from 1 species
AGUGAACGCUGGCGGUAGGCCUAACACAUGCAAGUCGAACGGCAGCACAGUAAGAGCUUGCUCUUACGGGUGGCGAGUGGCGGACGGGUGAGGAAUACAUCGGAAUCUACUUUUUCGUGGGGGAUAACGUAGGGAAACUUACGCUAAUACCGCAUACGACCUACGGGUGGAAUCAGGAGAUCUUCGGACCUUGCGCGAUUGAAUGAGCCGAUGUCGGAUUAGCUAGUUGGCGGGGUAAAGGCCCACCAAGGCGACGAUCCGUAGCUGGUCUGAGAGGAUGAUCAGCCACACUGGAACUGAGACACGGUCCAGACUCCUACGGGAGGCAGCAGUGGGGAAUAUUGGACAAUGGGCGCAAGCCUGAUCCAGCCAUACCGCGUGGGUGAAGAAGGCCUUCGGGUUGUAAAGCCCUUUUGUUGGGAAAGAAAAGCAGCAGGUUAAUACCCCGCUGUUCUGACGGUACCCAAAGAAUAAGCACCGGCUAACUUCGUG